GUCUCUCCUACAGAUAUUGGGAUGGCUGAAGUCCCUCAUGAGAUCCAGGGCUUGUGAAUGUGAGUCUGCUUCUGUCUGUCCAUAGAGGAACUCCUAUGCUUGGUCUUCUUUAUCCGGUGGCCUGUAGCACUCCCACACUAUAAUGUCCCCUGUCCCUGCCUUACGUUUAAUCCUGACCCAUCAGCUCUUGGUCAGCUCCUCACCCAUUCCCAGGCAGAGCUCCAUGCACUCCAGCUGCUCAUUGACAUUGAGGGAGAUGUCCCCUCCUCGCCUCCCAUGCCUGUGCUUCCUAAAGAGCCUGUAUCCUUCCAUUCCAACACUCCAGCCAUGGGAGCCAUCCCACCACAUCUCUGUAAUGCCAAGGAGGCACAUCAAUACAUGC